AUUGUUCGCGGGCGGCAUGCCUUACACAUGCUAGUCGAACGGCAGCACGGAGCUUGCUCUGGUGGCAAGUGGCGAACGGGUGAGUAAUAUAUCGGAACGUACCCUAAAGUGGGGGAUAACGUAGCGUAAGUUACGCUAAUACCGCAUACGAUCUAAGGAUGAAAGUGGGGGAUCGCAAGACCUCAUGCUCGUGGAGCGGCCGAUAUCUGAUUAGCUAGUUGGUAGGGUAAAAGCCUACCAAGGCAUCGAUCAGUAGCUGGUCUGAGAGGACGACCGGCCACACUGGAACUGAGACACGGUCCAGACUCCUACGGGAGGCAGCAGUGGGGAAUUUUGGACAAUGGGCGAAAGCCUGAUCCAGCAAUGCCGCGUGAGUGAAGAAGGCCUUCGGGUUGUAAAGCUCUUUUGUCAGGGAAGAAACGGUGAAAGCUAAUAUCUCUUGCUAAUGACGGGACCUGAAGAAUAAGCACCGGCUAACUACGUGCCAUCAGCCGCGGUAAUACGUAGGGUGCAAGCGUUAAUCGGAAUUACUGGGCGUAAAGCGUGCGCAUGCGGUUUUGUAAAUCUGAUGUGAAAUCCCCGGGCUCAACCUGGGGAUUGCAUUGGAGACUGCAACGCUUAAAUCUGGCAUAAGGGGGUAGAAUUUCCCGUGUAGCACUGAAAUUGCUUGAAUUGUGGGAGGAAACCGAAGGGGUAGGCCGCCCCCUGGGGUCAGAUGACGCUUCUUGCCCAAAGCGUGGGGAGCAAACAGGAUUAGAUACCAUGGUAGUCCACCCCCUAAACGAUGUCUAAUAGUCGUCGGGUCUUAAUUGACUCGGUAACGCAGAUAACGCGUGAAGUAGACCGCAUGGGGAGUACGGUCGCAAGAUUAAAACUCAAAGGAAUUGACGGGGACCCGCACAAGCGGUGGAUGAUGUGGAUUAAUUCGAUGCAACGCGAAAAACCUUACCUACCCUUGACAUGGCUGGAAUCCUCGAGAGAUUGAGGAGUGCUCGAAAGAGAACCAGUACACAGGUGCUGCAUGGCUGUCGUCAGCUCGUGUCGUGAGAUGUUGGGUUAAGUCCCGCAACGAGCGCAACCCUUGUCAUUAGUUGCUACGAAAGGGCACUCUAAUGAGACUGCCGGUGACAAACCGGAGGAAGGUGGGGAUGACUUCAAGUCCUCAUGGCCCUUAUGGGUAGGGCUUCACACGUCAUACAAUGGUACAUACAGAGCGCCGCCAACCCGCGAGGGGGAGCUAAUCGCAGAAAGUGUAUCGUAGUCCGGAUUGUAGUCUGCAACUCGACUGCAUGAAGUUGGAAUCGCUAGUAAUCGCGGAAAAGCAUGUCGCGGUGAAUACGUUCCCGGGUNU
rnacentral:rRNA from 1 species